rnacentral:rRNA from 1 species
GAUGAACGCUGGCGGCGUGCCUAAUACAUGCAAGUCGAGCGAACAGACGGGGAGCUUGCUCCUCUGACGUUAGCGGCGGACGGGUGAGUAACACGUGGAUAACCUACCUAUAAGACUGGGAUAACUUCGGGAAACCGGAGCUAAUACCGGAUAAUAUAUUGAACCGCAUGGUUCAAUAGUGAAAGACGGUUUUGCUGUCACUUAUAGAUGGAUCCGCGCCGCAUUAGCUAGUUGGUAAGGUAACGGCUUACCAAGGCAACGAUGCGUAGCCGACCUGAGAGGGUGAUCGGCCACACUGGAACUGGGACACGGUCCAGACUCCUACGGGAGGCAGCAGUAGGGAAUCUUCCGCAAUGGGCGGAAGCCUGACGGAGCAACGCCGCGUGAGUGGUGAAGGUCUUCGGAUCGUAAAACUCUGUUAUUAGGGAAGAACAAAUGUGUAAGUAACUAUGCACGUCUUGACGGUACCUAAUCAGAAAGCCACGGCUAACUACGUG